UACGUAGGGGGCAAGCGUUGUCCGGAAUCAUUGGGCGUAAAGAGCGCGUAGGCGGCCCGAUAAGUCCGCUGUGAAAGUCAAGGGCUUAACCCUUGAAUGCCGGUGGAAACUGUCGGGCUAGAGUCCGGAAGAGGCGAGUGGAAUUCCUGGUGUAGCGGUGAAAUGCGUAGAUAUCUGGAGGAACACCGGUGGCGAAGGCGGCAUCCUGGACCGGCAUUGACGCUGAGGAGCGAAAGCCAGGGGAGCAAACAGG
rnacentral:rRNA from 1 species